GGUUUAUUGAAUUUCUAAUGAUAAAUUUAUUCUGCCCAUUGAAUAAUAUUUUUAAAAGGCUGCAGUAAUUUAACUGUACAAAGGUAGCAAAAUCAAUAGUUUUUUAAUUGAAAACUUGAAUGAAAGAAUGGAUAAAAUAUAUAUUGUCUUAAAUUUAAUUAAUUGAAAUUAUAUAAAAAGUUAAAAUUCUUUUAUAUUUUUAUUAGACGAUAAGACCCUAAGAAUUUUAUAAUUUUUAAUAUUAAGAUUUAUUUAUUAAUUUAUUUUAUUUUAAUUAUUUGAUUGGGAGGGUUAUUAAAAAUUAAACUUUAAUUUAAUUUAUACUUUGAUUAAUGUAUUAAAUGAUUAUUUUUAUAGUUGUAAGAAUUAAUUACCUUAGGGAUAACAGCAUAAUAAUUUUGGAAAGUUCAUAUUAAUAAAAUUGUUUGUGACCUCGAUGUUGAAUUAAAAUAAAAAUUAAACGGAGAAGUUUAAAAUUUUAGUCUGUUCGACUAUUAAAAUUUUACA
rnacentral:rRNA from 1 species